rnacentral:rRNA from 1 species
UCAACGGAGAGUUUGAUCCUGGCUCAGGACGAACGCUGGCGGCGUGCUUAACACAUGCAAGUCGAGCGGUAAGGCCCUUCGGGGUACACGAGCGGCGAACGGGUGAGUAACACGUGGGUGAUCUGCCCUGCACUCUGGGAUAAGCCUGGGAAACUGGGUCUAAUACCGGAUAUGAGCUCCUGUCGCAUGGCGGGGGUUGGAAAGGUUUACUGGUGCAGGAUGGGCCCGCGGCCUAUCAGCUUGUUGGUGGGGUAAUGGCCUACCAAGGCGACGACGGGUAGCCGGCCUGAGAGGGCGACCGGCCACACUGGGACUGAGACACGGCCCAGACUCCUACGGGAGGCAGCAGUGGGGAAUAUUGCACAAUGGGCGAAAGCCUGAUGCAGCGACGCCGCGUGAGGGAUGACGGCCUUCGGGUUGUAAACCUCUUUCAGCAGGGACGAAGCGAAAGUGACGGUACCUGCAGAAGAAGCACCGGCCAACUACGUGCCAGCAGCCGCGGUAAUACGUAGGGUGCGAGCGUUGUCCGGAAUUACUGGGCGUA